rnacentral:rRNA from 1 species
CAAGUCGAGCGGGGAAAGGUAGCUUGCUACCUGACCUAGCGGCGGACGGGUGAGUAAUGCUUAGGAAUCUGCCUAUUAGUGGGGGACAACAUUCCGAAAGGAAUGCUAAUACCGCAUACGUCCUACGGGGGAAAGCAGGGGAUCUUCGGACCUUGCGCUAAUAGAUGAGCCUAAGUCGGAUUAGCUAGUUGGUGGGGUAAAGGCCUACCAAGGCGACGAUCUGUAGCGGGUCUGAGAGGAUGAUCCGCCACACUGGGACUGAGACACGGCCCAGACUCCUACGGGAGGCAGCAGUGGGGAAUAUUGGACAAUGGGCGCAAGCCUGAUCCAGCCAUGCCGCGUGUGUGAAGAAGGCCUUUUGGUUGUAAAGCACUUUAAGCGAGGAGGAGGCUCCUUUAGUUAAUACCUAAAGUGAGUGGACGUUACUCGCAGAAUAAGCACCGGCUAACUCUGUGCCAGCAGCCGCGGUAAUACAGAGGGUGCGAGCGUUAAUCGGAUUUACUGGGCGUAAAGCGUGCGUAGGCGGCUUUUUAAGUCGGAUGUGAAAUCCCUGAGCUUAACUUAGGAAUUGCAUUCGAUACUGGAGAGCUAGAGUAUGGGAGAGGAUGGUAGAAUUCCAGGUGUAGCGGUGAAAUGCGUAGAGAUCUGGAGGAAUACCGAUGGCGAAGGCAGCCAUCUGGCCUAAUACUGACGCUGAGGUACGAAAGCAUGGGGAGCAAACAGGAUUAGAUACCCUGGUAGUCCAUGCCGUAAACGAUGUCUACUAGCCGUUGGGGCCUUUGAGGCUUUAGUGGCGCAGCUAACGCGAUAAGUA